CACCUCGUAGCUCAACGGAAGAGCGUCGGUCUCCGAAGCCGAAGGCUGCAAGUUCGAGUCUUGCCGGGGUGA
rnacentral:tRNA from 1 species